AGACAGAAGAAUCUCGACAAAACUAAUCAACGGCUGUGAUUCAACGGUGAAAUCUUUGGCGCUCGUCGGAGAUUGAUCUUCCUUAUCCGGCUCCGACGUUCCCUUUCUUGGCAAGCUCGCCGAGCUCUGCACAUCACUAGUAAUCUCCUCUCCACGACUCGCUCCGUCCUCCGACUCUAUCAACUCGGUCACACUCACCGGUUCAACUCUCUCCGAGUUCGUCGUCGGUUCCUUCUCCACACUUUCACAGCUUCCUCUACAAGAAUCCUCUCCGGCAAGCUUCGAUUCUCCGCCGCCGCUUCCGGCCAUUUCCUCCUCCCUCUCCGUGUUUUCCGAUCCGAUUUCUUUGGGAUCUGGAGAAAUGGUUUCGUUCAUUAGCUGAACCGGCGGGUUUGGGACUGGUUCACCGGAAUCGCUACGCUCUUUCUUCCUCUCUAGAUCUAAAUUCUCGGUUUCCGUGUCCGGUUUAAUGAAACUCAUCUCUCUCUCUUCUUCCAAUUGCUUCACCUUCGACUGCAACGUGGAGAUAGAUAAAUCGUACUGUUCAACUUCGCGACGGAGCUCAUCGACGCGGAGCUUCCUUAACUCCUCUAGCCAAG